GGGGUGGCCCUGGCGAUCCCCGGGGGGAGCAGCACUGCGGCCGGGCUCCGCUUGUGUUCUCGCCUGCGUUUAGGAGGGAAACAAACUUCGGUGCUCCCCUCGGCCGCUCGCACAGCGGGGCUGUGGUGCACAGCCUGCUCCACGCCCACACUGAAGUCACAGGGGUCAGGAGCAGUCAGCACCUGGCAGGGGCAGAGCUGUCGUGUGUUCCUUAUCAUCUGUGAAACUCGGGGCUGGUUUUUUCUGCACACGUCACAUGUUUCGCACCUGGACUUGGUGAUGUGUCUCUACAGUGGUGGUAAGAUAAAGCGGGCACCUGAACCGUCACCUCAUGCUUCAACUCUUCAAAUGCAGAAAUAUCUAACCUUUUGUUAGUGUAAUUAGUUUGAUACCAAGCAGCGCUUCAAGUCUUCAAAUGCAGAAAUAUCUAACCUUUUGUUAGUGUAAUUAGUUUGAUACCAAGCAGCUUCAAGUCUUCAAAUGCAGAAAUAUCUAACCUUUUGUUAGUGUAAUUAGUUUGAUACCAAGCAGCGGGCAAACCCAUGAUUAUUCAGGCUUUGAUGUGGACAAGUUACAUCUGAAUGAAUUGCGAGAGGCAGAGGGAAACCAAGAAGUACUUGCCACCAUGGCCCUAUUGAAACCAGUUCCAUCCUAUCAAGAUUACUACACGGAAAACUUAUCAAUCAAAAAUUAUAUCUCUGCAGAUAGUUUCUGUUGUUUGGAUCUGAGACCAGUACUUAUUCUGAUGUAUUUCAAAGAUGAGUAUCAAUAUAAAACAAUUUAGGAUUGGCAUUAAUUACUCCAUAUCUUUUUUUGAAAAGCACUAUCUCUGAAAGAUAGCUCUCAUGUUACUGUUAAAAGUAGGUAAAUAGAACCAAAACAGUUUUGAGGCACUAAAAACUUGUUUAUGUGCAAAAGUCUUUUGGACCAUAUACUGUCACUAAUUUGUUUUUCAGUAUUAAUAUUUUUCUUCUGUUUUUGAGAGUGGGAAUCAAUAUUUCUAUUGGAGCAACCAGAAUAAUGUAUUGUCAUCCUGGUAUCACUGAACUUGGGUCAGAAUUGUUUGGUUUCCAGGGUAAAAAAGAGAAUAGAAAUACACAGUCAUGAAUUCUGUAAGUCUGUAGAAUGUCUGCAUAGGAAAUAAUGAUACUUCCAACUUCCUAAUAUAAUUUAGGCUGAAGAAACUAUUAGAAAAACCUGCUGCUGCAAAAAAAGCAGCAGCAGAGCGUACAGAAAAUCACAGCCUAGUAAAUAUAGAAAAAUACUCUUUGCACAUGAGUUAGAUGGGAAAGGGUAAAUAGUGUUUCUGGUUGUCAUGAGAUAUUCCAAAAGCUGAGGUGUUUUGCAUUAUCUGUUAGCAUCAGUUCUGUUCAUGCCACCUCCGAGGUAAGGUAGUUUCUGUCUGCAAAUAUUGUGUAUUCCUCUGUAUGGGUAAAAGCUGAAGGGCUGACACUGUGACUAAAUACAGUGUCACACCACUAGUUCUGAUGGAAGUGUGGCAUGUGCUAAUUAUUAAAAGGAAACAGCACAGGUACUGCCAGGUACAGGAAGUAUAAAUGCAUAACAGUGCAAAGGGGACCUUUAGCACCUUUCUUUUGCAGCUGUGCAAAAUUUAAAGUCCAUCCAGAAGGGCACACUGAGAAAUCAAGUAAAUCCUCAGAAGUGUGAUAAGAAGUUAGUUAUGGUGCUUAAGUGUGGUUGUCAUCAGUCCUCUACCACUGAUUCAGGGUUGGGUAAGCCUGCAGAACACUUAACUGUGUAAAAAUUCUUGGGAUGAAAUCCUCACGUUUUGUUCAAGAGUGUCUUACCUGUGGCUAUUGUGUAGAAAUGAAGCACUACAUAGAGCAGCCUCAAACUGGCUACUGAUGUUCACCUACUGGGCAAAAAAAAUCUACAUGGUCUAAUAAUAGACUGGUGCUACAGAAUUUAAUUUUUUUUAAAACAUGCAAUUCCAAAGCUCUGUCAUACAGACUCUCAUCCAUGCCAGCAGAGUUCAAUAUGCCAGUUUUAUGGUUACUGUGCAAGAAAGCAUGAAGAGUUUCUGCUCUGUUCUGUCUCAGUGAUUUCUCUGGAAUAUACUCCAUAUGAUAAAAGUACCCAAAAUAACAGUCCUUCCUCUGUUUCGUUAGAGCUGAGGAACAGAAACACAAGUUUCCAUCAUAUUUCUUAUGCCUAUAGAUGUGAGAAAUCAUUCUCUGCUUAGGCUUUCAGUUGUUUUCAAGCUUCAGCAAUUUUGCAAUUGAUACAACUUCAAAGUUAUUUUUUUAAGAACUAGAUGAGAACAUCUAGAUUGACUUUUCAUUCAUCACAAGCCAAGUAUGAUGCAAGCAGCUUUCAGAGCCAGCCAAACUGAGCUUCAUUUGAAUCUGCUGUGCAGCUCCUGUUCCAUCUUGAAGACAGUAAUUUUCUCUCUUAAACUAGAAGACAUUUUUUCUCCAGUUAGCCAAAGAUUUGCAUAUUGUGAAGGUACAAGAGUUGUGCCUCACUGAACAGGAGCUGACCUAAGGCUCCUGCCUCCACCUCCCAUCACUGUCACUUCAGGCAGUUUUAGCUCACCCAAGCCAGAGUGCAAGUGUUGCAGUGCUGGAUACUGUUACCCUCCGUGCUUUACAGAAUUACUGCAGGCACGGUGAAGUACCUAAUGCAUGUUCUAUGGUACAAGAAAAGGGAUCAAUGAAUAAAUUCAGCUUUCCACUGUCUUGUAGCAAUAAAAAGGGUAAUGAUUCUAUGAAAAAUAUCAGUACCUCAGAAGCAAAUGGUGAUGCUUUUGACAAAUGAAUUCUUCUCUAUCAGAUUCAUCACAAAUUAAUUUUGUUCACAUAAAACUAAUUUUGUCUGUUUGAUAGCAGUCCAUUUCCUGCACUGCCACCAUCUGCACAGGCAUUCCUACUAGCAAUGGAAUGUCUGUGCACCCAGCCAUUUUAAUAGGUUUGGGAUGAAUCAGGAACAGCAGGAGAACGUGCCAUUUCAUUAUCCCAAAACACUGCCUCGUCCUAUAGGAACUUAGACCUGAUAAAGGCUGAGAAAGUCAGGUCUGUAGCUACCAUUACUGUUAAAUGCUUCUGUUACCACUGGUUUUAAGUUUGCCUCCAUAAGACAGCAAGAAAAUGAAGAGCAGGAAAGGCAGGAAAAGCGUGUGAAGCUUUCCAGCAUGUUUGAAUUGAUAUUAGUGAGACAUGAUGCGUGACAGGAUUGUUUCUAUCACUGUCUACAAGCUGUUUAGGAAGGACAAAAUGAGUAAUAAGGUGUGAAGAAGUAAAACUAUACAAACUAAAAAUAUUACUUCUUGUGUAAUAUCUCAGAAUUGCAGAAUCCUAAGUGCCCAUAAACAAUUGCUGACAAAGCCCCUGUGGUACCUCUGUUACAGAUCUUCACUCAUCACUAAAUCACACCAGAGAGGGAAACGGGGCUGUUAUUAUGCACAGCUGCAUAAUGAAAAGUUGGAGUGCUAUAGCAGAUUUAUUCUCUUAAGUAAGCACAAUUUAAAUUACAUUUCCCAAAGCAAAUAGAUCUAUUCUAUAACAGAAAAGGCAUUGGACUCAACAUGUGGCAGUUUUCUAUUGGAAUUCACUAGGGAGAAAAAAAGAAGUACUGAACUAAAAAUGAGUUGUUGUCUAGAACUAGUAGUGAUGAAUGAAACUAAGUAACAUUUGUUUGGGGCAGGUAACAGAUGCCAUUAAUGUAUCUCCAUGGAUCUUCAGUGCUUAAAAGAAUCUAAUAUUUUUGUAUUGAAUAAAAUUACAGGAAAAGUGGCAGAAAAAUAUUUAAAAACCAUGAAUGACAACUGAGACUUCUUGAAGACUUUUUGUCAAAUAGAUAAGAGUUCCAGAAUCAAACAACUGAGGGCUCAAAUCCCAUUACAAAGGACAAUUAGAAGCCAAACAACAAUGCAAAAAUUACAAGUUAUGUAAACAAAAAUGAAAAAGGCAAAAUCCUACUGAAAGGGUAUUGGGAAUAUAAAGGAUGCUAACAGUCCUUAACAUUCAUUAUUGCAUGAAUAUAUGAACUGUGCAAAAAUGAAAAAUUCAAUACCAAUUUCUUUCCAUAUCAGGAAGGGAUCAGGGUGGCUCAUCAUAGCAGGUAGGAAUUAAUGAGGCAAAUUUUGGACAAGAGGCUUAACAAGUAAGUUGUACUUUUUUCAAACACAAGUUGGGGAUCAAACUGUAUGAGUUUGUGUGGGUCAUUGCAUCGUUCCUGACACAUUUGUCUAAUCUGUCCCUAAAAAUCUUCAGCAGUGGAAGUGGCAUCCCUUUUUAGGCAGUGCUUAUGUAUUUGCUUUCAGUACUGCUGCUGUACUGUACUGCUCUCUGCUUGAACAUUUCUGUGGCUACAAACAAGCAAAGCACUGAAAUGAUUCUGAAAAUAUGCUCAUCUAUACUUUUUAACAGGCUUGAUUGCCUACAAUGGUUUUAGAAGAAAUUCAAGAACUUGAGAGUGCUCAAUUCUGUGAGGCAAGGAGAGUUGCUACUUCCUGCUGUGUCUGUUUCCUUGUAGUGAGUAAAAGGUCUAUGUGGAAAUGAUGGGCAGAUAACCCUUCAUUAACAACUCCUGAAGUCUUCGGGACAAGCAGUUGUAGCAACACUGAAUGCCGGUUACUGCUGUUAAUAGAAGGAACCCUGCCUUGUACUGAGAGGGAGGUAGAGACUUCCUACUGCUUUUGCACUCUUGGAUUAGCUGGGUCCUAUGGCUGCAGAUACACAGCAGUACCAGACACGGUCAUUCCAGCAGCACCUGCCCUGCGGGAAGGCUGCCAGGCAGGAGGAGGCAGCACCCGAGGCAGCCUCUCAGCACAGUCUCUGUCCUCGGUGUGUUUAUAGUGAAGCUGUUACGGAUGAAGGAGGGCAGGGAGGCCAGUGUUUUGUGUCACCCAGUGGCUUUUUCCCAUCAGUGUGCUGACCCACUGUCAGCUGUUUUCCCCUUUCAUCCCAUUAUCUUCCCCUUGGAGCAUAGAGGCACCUCAUAAAAUUUAUAAGCACUUGCACAUAAUAACACAUUUUAGGAGAACCCUGAACAACAGAACAGGAGGCUUACUGUAGGAAGCUAAAAUAUGUCAGUAAAGUCUCAUUUGUCCCAAGCUUCUGGAGUCUUGUUGCUACUAGUUCCAUGGAUCAUAAAAGAAAAUUAUGUGAGAUGCUGUACAUGAAAGCUAAUGACUAAUUAAUUGGGGAUAAUACUUAACUAUGCUGGUCUUGGCAGGGAAAUAAUGAGCUACUGUCAAGGAAUCCUGGCUUUCCAGAAGGUGCACUCCCUUCCCAUGUAUUUUCACAUCGGACAGCACCCCUGUGAAGUCCCAGUGUGACGUGCAUUUACAGCUGCCCCACUGCUGACAGGUGCACUUGCUCCCUAGGACUAUGCAGUGGGGUUUGCACGGCAGAAGCAUUGUUUACAUUGGAAACUAAUUCUUUAAGAUAUAUGGAGUUCAUUCAGAUACAGCAAUUGAAAAGCUUGGCUGAUUCUUUUAUCAAGCAUGUUCUAUAAGCACAAUGAAAAUAUAUUCCUUCUGCUGUAUUUAAGAAAUAAUUGAAAAUAAUUUAUGCCUUUAAAAGUUUCAACUAUCAAGUUUGAAGCAUGCUAGAUACUAAUGAACAAAAGUAUUCACCCAAGGGCCUUACAGAGCAAGUCUUUUCCAUUAUUUCCAAUUGUGUAUUUGUGGUGUUUUCACUGCACUUCCAAUUCAGCAGAAUCUGAAUCAUUCUGCACAGAAUCCCAGGUCCCUUUGGCUGCAGACCUACAGCACCAGAGUGCACCCAGCUCCACCAAGUGAAAUGUGAGCUGUUGGGAGUUUUUUUCCUUUCUAUGAAAAGAGGUGCAUCUGUGGAAUGAGGAGAGUGCACUUUCGUGGAAUUUACUGACCAUUUAAUGGCUGAACGCAAGUUGAAAGCAGAAAUAAAAGUCUGCUGGUUUAGAUCCCCUGCUAUAUACAAGUUCUUAAACUGUUAUGUGUGAAAGGGUCUGGGUUUGUGUGGGUUUAAUUUCUUUCUUAAAGAGAUUUUGUGUUUUCUAAAUGUGAAGUUGUCCUUACAAAUUUUUGGAAUGAGAUUAUGAUAUUUUAUGCACAAAUAAGGUGGGGACUAAGCUUAUUUUGUCUUUUUUUGUUUUGUUUUGGUUUUUUUAAGAACAGAUGCAGUGUAUUUAAUUUUCCUACCUUGUAUUGAAAAAGAAUAAAAAAUAGUUUUAAAAAUUACAGCAAUGAAAAGGACUCCUGAACUUGGUAUCUCAUGCUAUUUCUCCAGAAUGUUUGAUGCUUAACUGCCAUGUUGUAUUUAAGCUAUACAAUUAGCCAAAGAAAAUAAAGACACACACACACCAUCCAAUUGUCCUUUUAUAUUUUUAUUCGGUGUUAAGUAACUCCACAAGAAAACAAAAUCAGUUACUCUGGUGUACGUGAAAUCAGAACAAUACAACCACUUGAAGCAAAAAGUAGAAACAAAUUUCAGCCCAGGAAUGGAAAACUGAUACUUCAGUGCUAUGGAUAUGCAAUGAGCUUCAUCCCACAGUGCGGUUCAGCGUACGCCAACCUUUAAUGCUUUUGUUGUUGUUGUUGUUGUUGUGUGUUUCUAUCCAUAUAGAAAAACUAAAAACCACACUUCAACUCUCACUGAAAGCCUUAGAGCUUUAGCCAUUAAACUAUGAAAACAAGUAAAGACAAUUUGUUAUUGCCCAAGCUCAGUAUAGGAUUUUAUUUUCCCCAAAGGUGCUGGAAUCAUUACACACCACAAUGUAACUACGAGCAACACCUUUGAUAUUUUGAGCCCUUUCUUACCAAAGAAGCAGCUCAAGCCAGUAUUAACUGAGCUGAAGUUUGUGUUUGAAAUAUGUCCAUUUGGUCAUUUCCUGUUCUCAAAUGAAGUUCUAUUCCAUUCUUCACUGUAGUGAUUUGAAGAAUUUGUGUGUAAAGUUCUUUUUUUACUUUCAUGUUACAGUUAACUAGUUCUCAGUGCAGGUGCUAAACAACCUCUCAAGGAAGCUCCAGAAGAAAGUAAAAUAUAUAAAAAUCUAUUCAAAGUCUGCAAAUAAAUUAAGAAAAGAAACUGUAAAGUGUCAAAAGAUUUGUUGUAUGAAUACAAACCCUAAAACAUAGUCUAAGAGGAGGACCAAAAGAAAGUCCCCGGGUAAGGGCAACCAAGCCAAUUUUAGUAAGGAUCUCACCAAAAGCGUUGCACAAAGACUGGCAUGGUUCCCCAACCACGUAUUUAAAUUCUUACACUGUCAACUGAAUAAAGGCAACAAAACCCAGUUACUCAGAAAGCAUUUCUAGCGCAGAACAUAUUUCAAAGGCAGUUCAGCUCACAUUUCAAACAGCUACGUUUCUUGUGAGGUUUAUUGCCUGUCAAAAUUAAUGGUGAAGCUUUUCAAGUCAGUGUUGGACUCUCUGCACUUCCUGGUGUUCUAGACAUGCUGCAAUCGUGUAGACUAGUUAGUUGUUGUAAUUUUUUAAACUAGGAGUUGGUAAAAACUUAGAAUGUUUAGUUUUGCAAAUAUUGCUCCUCCUGGCUUAUACAUUUUGCAUAAUGUGUUAAAAGCACAAGGAGUUGAUAGUCUUGUACAGAUGCAACUUGACAAUGUAUUGACUUUCUAAGUUAACAAAAUAAAAUUUAAAAGCAAGUCACAUAAAGCAACAAUCACUACUGCAAUCACACAUGUAUGUUGUAAGUCAUCACCUUCCCUACCCCCACCCACCACACACAGAACUUGCCCCACACAUUCUCUCAGGAACACAAAAUGAACUACGAGAUUUACUAAAUUACAGCCACAACAGCAGCUAACUGCAGCAGCCACAGGAUUUCUUUCAAGUGAAGCACUGACCCUUUGCAUUUAGAACAUUGAACACUCUGAGCAUUUUAGAGAGUUUCAGUCAUUCAGGCUCAAGUUCAGUUACAGGAUGCUUUUGCAGGUUACAUGAAUGCCUUCAUCUGCAACAAGACAACAUUCUCAUUACUCGUUAACAAAAUUCACAACAAUCCACACAUCACCCCAGUGGUUUAUUAUUUUUGGUGUUACUUUUUAAACUUCUGCCCCACAUUGGCAAGUUGCUAAAAAGGACAAAAAAAA